rnacentral:rRNA from 1 species
GAUGAACGCUGGCGGCGUGCCUAAUACAUGCAAGUCGAGCGAACAGAUGAGGAUCUUGCUCCUCUGACGUUAGCGGCGGACGGGUGAGUAACACGUGUAUAACCUACCUAUAAGACUGGUAUAACUUCGGGAAACCGGCUCUAAUACCGUAUAAUAUAUUGAACCGCAUGGUUCAAUAGUGAAAGUCGGUUGUUCUGUCACUUAUAGAUGGAUCUGGGCCGCAUUAGCUAGUUGUUAAGUUAACGGCUUACCAAGGCAACGAUGCGUAGCCGAGCUGAGAGGGUGGUAGGCCACACUGGAACGGAGCCAGGGACCAGACUACUACGGGAGGCAGCAGUCGGGAAUCUUCCGCAGUGGGCGAAAGCAUGACGGAGCAACGCCGAGUGAGAGAUAGAGGCGCUGGGAUCGUAAAACUGUGUUAUUAGGGAAAAACCGAUGUGUAAGUAAAUAUGGACGUCUUGACGGUAACUAAUCAGAAAGCAACGGCUAACUACGUG